GAUGAACGCUGGCGGCGUGCCUAAUACAUGCAAGUCGAACGAGGUGCUUUUGUAGCAAUACGAGAGUAUCCUAGUGGCGAACGGGUGAGUAACGCGUUGGUGACCUACCCCAAAGUGUGGGAUAACAGUCCGAAAGGACUGCUAAUACCGCAUGUGGUUAUUGGAUCUAGAAACCGGUAACUAAAGGAGCAAUUCGCUUUGGGAGGGACCUGCGUCCCAUCAGCUAGUUGGUGAGGUAAUGGCUCACCAAGGCGACGACGGGUAGGGGACCUGAGAGGGUGGCCCCCCACAAUGGAACCGAAACACGGUCCAUACACCUACGGGUGGCAGCAGUAGGGAAUAUUGCACAAUGGGCGAAAGCCUGAUGCAGCAACGCCGCGUGUGUGAUGAAGGCCUUCGGGUCGUAAAGCACUUUUCUGGGAGAUGAGAAAGGACAGUAUCCCAGGAAUAAGUCUCGGCUAACUACGUGCCAGCAGCCGCGGUAAGAC
rnacentral:rRNA from 1 species